AAGAUAUAUCGAAAUAUAUCGGGCGAGCAUCCGUUAUAUCCAACGACCUUCUUUCUUUUACGACCGCUUUCCACUUUCGUUGCCGCGCUGCUGCGCCGCGCAACUCCGUUCUGUGGCUCGUGCUUGACGAGCGUAGAGCGUAGAGUGCGACGAAGGUAAGCGGGAGGUGGCCGCGACCGGCCGGAGGCUAGCCGGAGGUGCCGUGCCGUGCCGUGCUAUGCCGGUUCAGUCUUGGUUCGACUGGUUACUGCAACCGAUCGGCUGGUGACGUGAUACACUCGUGACAUGUGUCACGCGAGUGUUACUGCCGUUGUCGUCGACUUUCAUUAUUAUUAAUAUUGCCUGAACGCGAAUCAAGUUUAGGACCUAUAUUGUCAAUUGCAUUGCUCAAUUUGUAGCAUAUAUCGGUAUCUA